CACUCGUUCGCCGCAACCCUAUUUCUCGGAUGACUUGUGAAUCUCACAGGUCAGAAGACUUACGAUGCAUGACGUAGAGAAAAAUGCAGUCUGUAGGGGGUGGCCCUUGCAUGCCUGCAGGUCGACGAUUGUUAUCGGUGUCCGAGGAAACUGCCACGAUCAACGUGGAGGAAGGUGGGGAUGACGUCAAGUCAGCACGGCCCUUACGUCCUGGGCUACACACACGCUACAAUGGCGAUGACAACGAGUUGCCAACCCGCAAGGGGGAGCUAAUCUCAGCAAACAUCGUCUCAGUUCAGAUUGUAGGCUGCAACCCGCCUGCAUGAAGUUGGAGUUGCUAGUAACCGUGAGUCAGCACAUCACGGUGAAUCCGUUCCC
rnacentral:rRNA from 1 species